UGUGGCUCUUUUCCCAGCUUCAGCUAUGAGGGAUACAUGGGGUGAGGGUAAAGAAAUUAUUAUUUUUUUUAAAUAAGCCCCUAGUGAGAGUUCUUCUUGAUAGUCACUGUUCUGAUUCCUCUGCCACAUUUCAGGAAAAGUCAGUU